rnacentral:rRNA from 1 species
UACAGAGGUCUCGAGCGUUGUUCGGAUUUACUGGGCGUAAAGGGCGCGUAGGCGGCGAGGCGUGUCGAGUGUGAAAUCUCCGGGCUCAACCCGGAAAGUGCGCUCGAAACUGCCUUGCUUGAGGACGGUAUGGGGAAUCGGAAUAUAGGGUGUAGCGGUGAAAUGCGUUGAUAUCCUAUAGAACACCGGAGGCGAAGGCGGAUUCCUGGAACGUUACUGACGCUGAGGCGCGAAAGUCGGGGGAGCAAAC